AGGGUUUCUGCUCUGGUCAGGUAGAGCUGCAGCAGCCCAGCCUUGCAGGGUGGAGGAGCACAGGGAUGGAAAGCCAACGGGAAGAAAAGCAAGAUGUGGAUAUCCCUGCUCCAUCAGGGAAAUUGGUUCUGAAAGUAGACAGCUACCCCAGGGAGGCAGGAAUAUGACCAAAUCCUGGAAGCACAAAUCACUGCAGCAAAUGCUUAUAUGUAAGCCCCACUGGGUAGAGACAGGAAUCUCUACUAAUUCCCUAUUCUGCUGCUGAUUUCCAGUGAAAGUGUGAGCCUCCAGAAGGGACCUGGAGAGGUAUGACUAUGGGAGAAGCCCCAGAGCUGAGGGGUCUGCACCAAGACUUGGAAACCUCAUACUCUUACACCAGAGAUCAGCAGCAAUCCUUUCUUCUUCCCAGAGCCACCAGUCUCUGGGUCAAGGGAGCUGCCAUGUUUCUUGCUUCUCUGUCUUGUUUUCCAUUAGUCACUGCUGGCUGACUGUUAUGGAAAUCAUCAUGGUCCUGUUAGUGCUGUGGAUGUGUGGUACAUGCAUCGCUGGGCUUGUGGAAUUACCGCAGGGAUGAGCUGGCAAGUCACUAGCAUGUUUGAGCUGGUAGUCUGGCUCCAGAAAUUGUUGCCUCUUAAGCUGUCAUAUAAGAGAUGGUCUGAAUGCACUCAUGGCAGAGAUGCAAACAAUCCACCUCCUUUCUCAGUAUGCCCUACACGUGGACCUGGUUAAGGGAUGUUUCUAUAUUUCCCUAUACAAAACCUGGUUUGCCUUCCUGCUGGCAGGCAUGGGUCUUAUUCUGGUCUCAUUUACACUGCUGUCAACUGGAAGUAACCCCUCUGAAGCCAGAAUUUAAAAUGAAGCUUCUUGCCACGUUUACAUAUUCUACUUCUUACAGCAUAAUUUGUCCUAGUUUAAGUACCAAAUGCUUUGUAGGAAUUUCAUUAUAGAGCACAAGUUUUGUCAAAUGCAUUCUGCUCGUUUUGCUGGAGGUUGCUAAGCAUAGUCUAUUCCUUCUGAAUCCUUUGUACUAUUAGUAUAUUUGCCCAUGCUACAAGAAGAAAUUAAAAAUACAGCAUGGAAGAAAAUACAGCUUUGUCUCAUGUUCCUGGGGAAAAAAAAAAGGCAGGGGAAGGACUUUCUGUACCUGGAAAACUAUCUCCAGUGGCUCUUUGGGAUGCAGAUAUGGACAACCUGAGGGUAAUUUGGAGGGUCUCAAACUUCUUGCCUAAUGGCACAGCAGUCAGUGCUGAUAAUUGAUUUCAACCCGCCUGUGAGAUGAACACCUGCUGUGCAAUAUGGCUCUGGUAGGAUUUUCUCCCUGCAUAGCUGGAGCAAAAUCCCUGUUGUUGACCACAGGAUUGGGUCCCUAUUUGCUAAAACCUGAACUGUAUCCCAGUGCAUUGUUACUACGCUACAACCGUUUCUGCUGCAGUAUGGUUUAAAUACCUUGCCUUGACACUUAGGUGUUUUUGUGGAUUUUAAUGGGCUUCUUUCUUUCAAAGCAAAUUUAAUUCCGUUACUAAAUAAUGCAUUUGGCCUCCAACCUGACUUGUGCUAAUUACUCACAUGCUGAAUGGGUUUUAAAUCUUGUUUGGAAAUGCUAUAGAGUUUAUUGUCUUAUUAAAAGCACCUAAUGUGAGCUUUCCUUUUUCUUUAAGACUGCAAUUGGUCUCUAGUGAAAAUGAACAGAUAAUGCAAUAAUUUUUCACUAAACUAAUUAUCAGAGCGGAAGAUGCUAAUGUGUGUUGCCAACUGUGUCUUAUGUCUCCUCGGUUAACAUGCUGCAUGGUCACGGCUGUUCAGCAAGACUUUACAUCUCUGGAAGCAGAAAAGAGGCUGAAUUAAGCUUACCCAUUGCUCACUCCGUUUUGCAGUCAUGUUAACGUGUUCAAGCAGUGCUACCUCCACCUGCACUUAGUGUUAAUCAAGUGGGGUUUCUCCCACAGAGGACUAGCAGGGAAUUAACUUAUUUCUAUGGGUAUAGGAUGUAUGGGUCUCCUGCUUGCAAAGAUCCCAAGCACCCAACCUUCAACCAUUGCUCUUCUUCAGCUGUGCUGGAAAUCAAGAUACCUGAAGUCAAUGACCGCGUUUGAAAAUGUUCAUGACAUGUUUCUUCAAGCACUGAAAUAGGUCUCUGUGCACAAACACGUGUGAUCCUGACCAAAUGCAUGUGCUGGGGCUGACGUAUAUUACCAAGAAGGAGUUCUCGUUUUCAAUGUAUUGCAGCAUGCAACAAGGGUGUGCUUUGAAAAGCAACAAAACAAACCAAGAGUCUGCAGGACCCCCGCCUCUAGAUGCGCAAAGCCUGCAGAAGCGCUGAGUGCUGGCAGACAUGUCCCGUUGUGGAAAGAAGGAAGAAAUUAGGAGUGAAAGAAGAAAAGUGAGGCUUCACCUUGAGCAAACGCGGUGUGUGCUUCUCCAGCUCCCCUCGGAGCAGGCUGCAUUUGAAAGCAGAAUUGGUAAGGACUGGGAUUUGCCUGUCUGAUUGCUGUUACUCCCCCAAACAAAUAAACAAAACAAUUAUCUUUGAAUGUUACCCAGGCUAAUGUGUAGAGCUGGCACUGGGGAGUAAAGAGAGGAGAGGACACCAGGCUAAAAGCAUUAAUCGGUAAUGGGGUUUGUAUAUUUGUCAACAAGGCGCUCGGCUCGGAGAGCUGAACAAAAAGGAAGCAAGCUGCAGAAAAACAAAUGCAUACCAAGCCUUGUCACUGAUAUUUGUUUAACAGCCUGUCACAAGCAGCAAAUGAGGAUCAAAGGUAGGAAAGGCAACGAAGGAGCGGUUUCAGUCCAAGGCAUCCAUUCUGCAUUGCAUCAGGGUUCACUCCUGGAUCAGGGUGCAUUCUGCCACAUUGUGUUACAUCAAGCGAGUUGUGAAAUGAUGGAGCCUAAUGCAGAAUCAUUUUACUGGCCUUCCACUUAGUUACAGCUAUUGAUCCUGCCCCCUCAGCAUGAACAUGCAGGGUAAGGCUCCUUGAUUGUUUUGGUGAUGGAGGUUGUAGUGCAUCACUUCUCUGCUGGGAUGCUACUGGAGAGAUGCACAUUUCCCCUUUGGCCACCUGAGCAGAGGUGACUGCUGGCCCCAGAGGACCUGCAGAGUAACUGCCCUCAGUUUUCUGCCAAGCAGCCCAGACAUGAAGCUUACCUGGUUAAGAGAUGAAGAAGAUGGUGGUGGGAACAACUGAGGGUGCAGGCAGACAAAAUGCCAGCUGAAAAAAAAGCAGCAUUGUUUAACUAUUAAAGAACAAAAUGAACUGGAAAGUCAACUCAUAAUUUUUCAUGUGUUUGCAUCAGAAAACAAUUUGGGGAGGGAAUUUAAUUAAAUUAUUGGAGUUUCUUCAGAAGUUUUACUGGCAAAUGCUGCUCUUCCCAGCCAACCCCAGUGCUAAGACAAAUCAUCAGUUAGAGGAACUGCAGCAAAUACUGGAAUCAACUGAUUUAUGGUAUUUUUUUGUUCUGUCAAACAAAACCACUUUCUAUACUGAGCAGUUCCUUAAAUUUAGCUCAUAUUCCCCCCCUGAAGAUGACUGUGCAGAUCUGUCUCUAGCAGAAAGGAGCUGGCUUGGUGACUUUCCACUGCCAUUUGCAGCGCUGAUGGAAGCACCAACCACCUCAGCUGCUGAAGCUAUGGCAAUUAAUCACGUCCUCCAGCUGCAGAACGUGCAGCUCCUGGCCAUGCUCACGUGCAGGUGUCACCUCCAGGAUUAAUUGGUAUUGAUGAACUUGCUUAGCAACCACACGCCAAUUGGCACUGAUCCCUGGGGAUGCGCAGCUUCCCCAUCCUCAGCCAGGAACACUGACCUUGUGGCAGAGUAAUGCUGGGGAGCAAGAGGUAAAUGAGGGAGGGCUUGUGCCAGCUCCUCCCCAGCCACCACCACAUGGUGGUGGCCAUGUGGGCUGCCUGGGUGUGCAGCAGCAGUGCCAUAUUUCAUAUUUGAGCCCUGUUUAUCCUCUGCCUAAGCCUAGACUGGCAGCUCCAAUAUCCAGCUGUUGGCUAACAAGAGAAAGCAUCUUUGGUUUCGAAAAUGUUUCUCAUGUUUCAUUAAGCUGAUGGCUUUGGAUGGGAGUUGCAGUAGUGUAAUCCAUGUGCUGACAGCGCCCCUCGAGACUUGGGCUGGGGAUAAUCACAUCCUUUUUAUGCUGCUAAUAAUUAACUAUUGAAACAAUUUACUAAUGGAUGUAGUGGCUUCUUUAAAUGAUGAAUUGGUAUGGUUUAGCACAGCUAUGUGGCAUAGGCUUGAUGCAAAUAUUACUUGAGUGCAAAGCCAGUCUGCAUUAUAGCCUGUUGAGGUCAGAAUCUAUUAGCCAUAAUUCCUCUUAGCCUAAAUUCUCUUCAUCUUUAGAAAUAAGUUUUCAUACAGAAAUUAUUCCAAAACCUUCAAAAACAGAGCUGCAUGUGCUCUAUCAUAUAGCAAUGUAUGAUCUUAUUCGCUAAGUGGAGGAGAGGGAUGUUUAUGUAAACUGCAGCCAAAAAUACAGUAGUAUUGCCAAAAAGAGUAAGUUUAUCAGCUAUUUUAGUUAAAAAUGGGUAAACUCCAUGUGCAUGAAUAGAUUAAAUUAUAUUUAUUGGCAUGCAUUGAAUGGGUCUAAUCAGAGUAAUGGCUGUUGAAGGGGUGUAGCAUCUAUUAAUUGAAUAUGGAGACUAGUUUCACCUGAUUUUUGUUUUUAGUGGUUUCCACUAUUUGCAAAACAACUGUCACAGAAAGCUUCACAUCCGAGAUCUCCCAGAUCUUGUCAAAUUAAUUUCUGAACUCUUGACACUUCUGCACCAACUGUCCUAAUUCUUCUCGUAGCGUUUGCUUAAGACGACUCUAAUAACUAAGUCAUGUCUGACAGCCUAAAGAUAAGCUGUUAUUUCUCUCAAAGAGAUGACAGUUCCCAUUUUCAAAAGCAGAGGAAAGGUUGCUCACUGUUUUACUUCCUGCAGCAGCAAAAUUUUCAGGCAUGGGACUGGCAAAACAAAGAGUUGCUUGCUGUAGGUAAAGGGUUUUUUCUUUGCCUCUCACCAUUGCGCUUGGAUGGAAAGGUCAGGUGUGUCAGAGAUGGUUAAGGCUUUGAAGAAGACAGAUGUGUGUAUGCAGAAAGAACAUAAAGGGGAUUGGAAUAGCUUAAAGGAAUAAGCGGAAUUGGAAAGAUCUGGGCUUUAAACUUCAUUCUGCAAUUGAAGUCAUUGUUAGCUCUCUCCCCCACUGAGGAAAAAAUGUCUUGGAGGGGAAAAAAGGCAGAAAAAAUGAAAUAUUAAAUGCAUAUUUCUGGCUAGUUAUCUCAACUGCUGGAAUUGCAGCAGUGCAGAUUACUCCAAGCUUUUAGCAAUUGAGUAGAAUCCACUUCACCUUUCGUCUCCAACUUUGUUUCUUCUUCAGCCCUCCGCUGGGAUUGUGGGAACAAGCGCUGGCUAUACUACAAAAGAGGGGAAGGAAAAAAGGUACCCUGCAGGCUACAAGCGUGGAGAAGGUAGGAGUGCGUGUGUGCAGCCUGGACCCAGCUGGUCUCUUAUUCUCAGCAAGGCAGAUAUCUGUACAACAAUUGGUCAGGUUUGCUUAGAAGUUUAGCAAUCACAUCUUCUGUCUUUAGCCUCCUGCCCAUCCCCGAAGGGAGGGAGUCCCUGUGGUCCCCACAACCUGUCCCAUGCCAUGUGGCAACUGCUGCCCCACAUGGCGCUAUGAUGCUCUUUCAGUAUGGCAAAAACCUGUGCAUCCCCAGCCCGGUGUGUGCGCGGUAUUUCAUCUCAUUUUAAAAUACCACCUUGGGAGAAUGGUGUUGGACCACUUGCUCUAAUUCGUUACUGAAAACCCAUGAGGUGAAUCUGGUAUUUGCUAUAUUUAAGACCCUCUGAUAAGGUGGGCACAGCACUCUCCAGCAUCUCAUGGCAUCACGGCUGCCAUCCGGGAACAACGUGCUCCCUUUCCCACCUCCACAAGGCUGCAAACAGGCAAAGAACUGU